GAUGAACGCUGGCGGCGUGCCUAAUACAUGCAAGUCGAGCGACCAGACGAGGAGCUUGCUCCUCUGCCGUUAGCGGCGGACGGGUGAGUAACACGUGGAUAAGCUACCUCUAAGACUGGGAUAACUUCGGGAAACCGGAGCUAAUACUGGAUAAUAUAUUCAACCGCAUGGUUCAAUAGUGAAAGACGGUUUUGCUGUCACUUAUAGCUGGAUCCGCGCCGCAUUAGCUAGUUGGUAAGGUAACGGCUUACCAAGGCAACGAUGCGUAGCCGACCUGAGAGGGUGAUCGGCCACACUGGAACUGAGACACGGUCCAGACUCCUACGGGAGGCAGCAGUAGGGAAUCUUCCGCAAUGGGCGAAAGCCUGACGCAGCAACGCCGCGUGAGUGAUGAAGGUCUUCGGAUCGUAAAACUCUGUUAUUAGGGAAGAACAAAUGUGUAAGUAACUAUGCACGUCUUGACGGUACCUAAUCAGAAAGCCACGGCUAACUACGUG
rnacentral:rRNA from 1 species